rnacentral:rRNA from 1 species
GAUGAACGCUGGCGGCGUGCCUAAUACAUGCAAGUCGAGCGAACAGACGAGGAGCUUGCUCCUCUGACGUUAGCGGCGGACGGGUGAGUAACACGUGGAUAACCUACCUAUAAGACUGGGAUAACUUCGGGAAACCGGAUCUAAUACCGGAUAAUAUAUUGAACCGCAUGGUUCAAUAGUGAAAGACGGUUUUGCUGUCACUUAUAGAUGGAUCCGCGCCGCAUUAGCUAGUUGGUAAGGUAACGGCUUACCAAGGCAACGAUGCGUAGCCGACCUGAGAGGGUGAUCGGCCACACUGGAACUGAGACACGGUCCAGACUCCUACGGGAGGCAGCAGUAGGGAAUCUUCCGCAAUGGGCGAAAGCCUGACGGAGCAACGCCGCGUGAGUGAUGAAGGUCUUCGGAUCGUAAAACUCUGUUAUUAGGGAAGAACAAAUGUGUAAGUAACUAUGCACGUCUUGACGGUACCUAAUCAGAAAGCAACGGCUAACUACGUG